GUAGGUGGCAAGCGUUGUCCGGAAUUAUUGGGCGUAAAGCGCGCGCAGGCGGGUUCUUUAAGUCUGAUGUGAAAGCCCCCGGGCUCAACCGGGGAGGGUCGUUGGAAACUGGGGAACUUGAGUGCAGGAGAGGAAAGUGGAAUUCCACGUGUAGCGGUGAAAUGCGUAGAUAUGUGGAGGAACACCAGUGGCGAAGGCGACUUUCUGGCCUGUAACUGACACUGAGGCGCGAAAGCGUGGGGAGCAAACAGGAUUAGAUACCCUGGUAGUCCACGCCGUAAACGAUGAGUGCUAAGUGCUGGGGGGUUUCCGCCCCUCAGUGCUGCAGCUAACGCAUUAAGCACUCCGCCUGGGGAGUACGGUCGCAAGACUG
rnacentral:rRNA from 1 species